AGAGUUUGAUCAUGGCUCAGAAUGAACGCUGGCGGCGUGCUUAACACAUGCAAGUCGAACGAUGAAGCCUAGCUUGCUAGGUGGAUUAGUGGCGCACGGGUGAGUAAUAUAUAGAUAACGUGCCUCUUAGUCUGGGAUAGCCAUUGGAAACGAUGAUUAAUACUAGAUACUCCUUCUCCUUCUAAUUGGAGUUGGGAAAGUUUUUCGCUAAGAGAUCGGUCUAUAUCCCAUCAGUUAGUUGGUAGUGUAAGAGACUACCAAGGCAAUGACGGGUAGCGGGUUUGAGAGGAUGAUCCGCCACACUGGUACUGAGACACGGACCAGACUCCUACGGGAGGCAGCAGUGAGGAAUAUUGCACAAUGGAGGAAACUCUGAUGCAGCAACGCCGCGUGGAGGAUGACGCAUUUCGGUGUGUAAACUCCUUUUAUAUGUCAAGAAAAUGACGGUAGCAUAUGAAUAAGCACCGGCUAACUCCGUGCCAGCAGCCGCGGUAAUACGGAGGGUGCAAGCGUUAUUCGGAAUCACUGGGCGUAAAGGACGCGUAGGCGGGAUGCCAAGUCUGAUGUGAAAUCCUAUGGCUCAA
rnacentral:rRNA from 1 species